rnacentral:lncRNA from 1 species
GUAAGCCUAACAUUAACUAAAUUAACAUUGACAUUUACUAACUUCAAAUUAAAUAACUCUGAAUAAAUCACAAUUCCCAAAACCGGUGAUACAAGUCAUAAGCCUUUCUAAGAGUAGUUAUACAAAAUAAAUACAACAUUGUUCCAGAACGAGAAGGAAUCGAUGGAACAUAAAUACAAACGAAGGUGACUCCGUGGCCUGCGAACGCAGCAACAGGUUACCGUGAGUCUCCACCGCGACGACCCGUACAACUACUAUUGAUCAAUAUCUGGAUCUUUACACAAAAAUAUACAGAAGUGUAGUAUGACCAUACCACGACGGUGCCCGGUAAGUAUCAAGACUAACCUCGGUGGGGUAGUGACGAGGAACAGUCAAGACACCUACUAGUCAAAUGAAAUGAACAUGAUAUGAUUAUAAAAUAUCAAGAUAAAGAUAAUGAGGUAAUAUCAACAGCGGAGAGAAAUCAAAAUACAAACAGUAGGGACAAUAAAGGGAGAACACGGGUAGUAACAAACGGUAACCAAGUAAAUCAGAUAACUAAAUAAAUCAACACUGACAUAACAGGGACAGAGACAAGUAAGAAUGUAUUCAAAUAAAGAAGGUAAUGCCAACUCAACAAUCACAUCAUGUCUAAUACACAAUCCCAACCAUCUUAAUCCUCGGUUUCUCAUAUCAUAAUCUCAACUUCCGAACCUUCAGCACACAUGGCACCUUGUGCCCACAUAUUUUCCAUCUCACUUUUAACAACAAAAUCCACAUGCUAACAAUACAUAAUGUCCGUACAAAUGCACUCAAUAUGUUCACGAAGUCUCAUUUACAUAAUAUAAAGUAAAUUACAAUUUCUAAACUAAUUAGGAAAAAUCAGCGAGAAAAGAUAAAGUUGUUUUUAGAAAUCAUUUGAGUAAAGAAAGUACUCCGUUCAAUUAAAAUACAACAUCGAAUGAAUUAUUACCUUUAACAUGGGAGUUAAUAACUUAAAACUUAGUAGAAAUUCCUUUUAAGUAAAAUACAACCUCAGACGGUUUAAGGGAAUAUAAAUGAGAAACUAAUUGAAUUAAAAAUGUAACAAUUAUUGAAGCCUGAAGUAUUGAAAUGUAUAUAUGUAAAUACGGCAAGGUAUUGAAAACACUGUAGGUUCCAACACAAAGAAUCACAGUAGUAAAUGACUUUAAACAGUUAAAACACUUGAAUUGAUAACAACAAAUAAACACAGCAAACAGAAAGUGCACGGCAUCACCCUCCGUGCUUUAACUCUCAAUCCUCACCAUGUAAUCAAUAAUAGAAAUGUGCACGGCAUCACCCUUCAUGCUCUAUCACUCUUCCUCACCAUAUGAAUCAUAUAAAUAUGCACGACAUCACCCUUCGUGCUUUAUCACUCUACCUCGCCAUAUGAAUAGUAUAAAUGUGCAUGACAUCACUCUCCGUGCUUUAUCACUCUUCCUCACCAUAUGAAUAGUAUAAAUGUGCAUGGCAUCACCCUUCGUGCUUUAUCUCUCUUCCUUACUAUAUGCAUCAAUAUAAAUGUAAAAGUGCACGGCAUCACCCUUCGUGUUUUAUCUCUCUUCCUCACCAUAUGCAUCAAUAUAAAUGUAAAUGUGCACAAUAAGGCAUGAAAGAAGUGGAAUUUCCUAACAGUUCUAUAGCCUUUCGAAGAUAAGUACAGACGUCUCUGUACCGAUCCGCAAGACUCUACUAAACCUGCUUAUGACUCGUAGCACCUAUGUACCUAGAACUCUGAUACCAACUUGAGCCAAUACUCAACAACGGUCAAAUACCAAGGAAAUACUAUAAGCCUGGUCCAACAUGAAUUCUCAUCAAGUCAAGCAUGAAUAGUACAUAAUAAGGAUCACAGAAAAACCAAGAAGCACACUAACCUUAACAAGACAACAAGACAUAAUAAACACGUGAUAACUACACCGGUAAUCACAACAAUUGGACAUGUAACACUGUCACAACCCUUUUUUGCACCAACUUCAAACCCUCUUAAAAAUAUUAAAAAGAUUUUGAAACUCGAAAGGGUUUUCCAAUUAGAAAGUGACAAUAAUUUGUGUUUUCAAAAGGAUUAACUUAGAGUCGCCACCUGAAAUUGAUUUCGGUGUGUCAGGUCAUCGUUUUUAAAAAUAAUUUUUCCUUUUAAAAUACUUAGGACUCCAAAACUAAGUCUGCACCAGAGAUUCGGGUAAGGGGGUUCAUUUGACUCGGGGUGAGGGUGUUAGACAUUCCCUGAGUCCCGUAACUAGUACAGUUGCGUACAUGAUCAGUUGGAUUUUAAAAUAUUCAAAUUGAGGUAAAAACAUACAAAAAGAAAAUAAAUAAUCAAAAGAGGCUCGAGGUCGCCCCCACCUAAUAAAAUAAAAAAUAAAUAUAAAGCAAGAAUAAAAUUACUACGAGUUCUGCUUUUGGCCUCCAAUUACAGAAUACUACGGGGCAUUCCCCGGAAUAAAAUAUAUAUACAAACUCUUUGGGGCAUUCCCCUGAUGAAACCAUGAUAAACUAAAGUGACGACCUCUCGCCUCAAAACUUAUAAAAAUCCUAAAGUUUGCCUACCCAGGUGAUGACGGCCUAAACAUGUUACUAACGGUCAAUGUACUAAGGCAAAUAAUAUAAAUAGAAAUAAAAUAACUAAAUAAAUAAAAAUAAAUUAAAACAUGUAAUAAUUUAAUUAUGCUUGGCCUUUCCCCAUUCCCACGGCACAGGACUUUUAGAACAUCCAAGCAAUCAUCUAACCUACUCAACUUUGUUAACUCAAUUUUUAUCACUAUAUUAUCAAUCCUAAAGCCUUGAAUACUUUAACUUUUAAUAAGGCAUUACAAACGGAACUCCAAAUUUACUUCAGCUACUAAGAAUUCAUCCGAAUAUAAAAUUACAUAAAAGAAACACACAAACAAUAAUCAAAAGAACCCCAAAAAAACGCAAAUAAAUUCUACCAAGGCAUCACGAGCAAAAAUGAAACAUUAAUUCAAAGAUCAACAAAGCAGAUCAAAGAGUGAUUAACAAGAUUACUGGAAGCAUGAAAUUAAGUUAAAAUAGUAAAAGAGGGGGACGAAUAGACCUCGAUCAGAUCUGGAAUUUGACUGUUUGACAGUUCGACAAUGCUAAGCAACAGAACCGCGAACCUCGACCCCGGAAAAAAAACCUCGAAUAGUGACCUCGAAUCAAGAGGCAGCCACAGAACUCAAACAAACUCCUUGAACAGAAUUGAAUCAAUUUCCAUUGAAAUCAGAAGAAGCAAAAACUUUGAAAUUCAAAUGAACUCCAUAACAAAACUGAAAAUUGAAAUCGGCAAGAAGAAGAGCACUGAAAUUUAUUUUUGUUCUUUUUUUGAUUUGUGAAAUUCAAAUAAAUUGGAAAAUCGUAAAGGAAAACUGAAGAAUAUCCAAUUUCUCAAAGACCCUAGAAUCCCUCUAUAUUGUUUGCUGCUCUCCCUUCCUAUGUCUCACUCCCGUUUUUCUUUUGUUCUUUGGGUUGAAAAUCCUCGCUGCUCACCCUGUUUUCUCCUCUUACUGUGUGUGUGUGUGUGUGUCUUUGGGUGGUCGGCGAGAGUGGUGGAGCAAGGAGCAUGGGCGGGGGGUUUCUGGUAUUUUUUGGAGAUGGUGUCCGGCAAAGAUGGUGAGUUAGGCGGCUGAGCUUUUGGGUUCGAGUAUUUGCCGCUGGAGAAGGGGUUCAAAAAGAAGGGGCUGGCGGUGCUUGUCUAUUUUUGGAGAGGAGGCGCUGGUUUUGUGAAGUCAGGGGUGUGGUGGGCGGCUGAAGGGUUCAGGGUAUUCUCUAGGGUUUUUUGGUAGUGUGUACAUGAAGAAGAUGAAGAUGGCUGGACCUUGGAGAGGAGACGGCGGCAGCUGGGCUGCUCCCUUAGGGAUGGCGGCGGUGGUUAGGUGCUGAAGAAGUUUUCUAGAGUUUGUAGUGAAAGAGAUGAGGAAUAAAAGGGAAGAUGGGUCAUGGGUCUUGAGCUUCAUAUUUGGGUCUUAAAAUUGGACUAAAAG